rnacentral:rRNA from 1 species
GUUUCAGCCGCCGCGGUAAGACAGAGGGUGCAAACGUUGUUCGGAUUUACUGGGCGUAAAGCGCGUGUAGGCGGCUUUGCAAGUCGGAUGUGAAAGCCCACGGCUCAACCGUGGAAGUGCAUCCGAAACGGCAUGGCUGGAGUCCCGGAGAGGAAGGUGGAAUGCUUGGUGUAGAGGUGAAAUUCGUAGAUAUCAAGCAGAACACCUGCGGCGAAGGCGGCCUUCUGGACGGUGACUGACGCUGAGACGCGAAAGCGUGGGGAGCAAACAGGAUUAGAUACCCUGGUAGUCC